rnacentral:rRNA from 1 species
UACAGAGGUGGCAAGCGUUGUUCGGAAUUACUGGGCGUAAAGGGCGCGUAGGCGGCCUUCUAAGUCAGACGUGAAAUCCCCAGGCUUAACUUGGGAACUGCGUCUGAUACUGGGAGGCUUGAGUGCGGGAGAGGGAUGUGGAAUUCCAGGUGUAGCGGUGAAAUGCGUAGAUAUCGGGAGGAACACCAGUGGCGAAGGCGACUACCUGGCCUGUUCUUGACGCUGAGGCGCGAAAGCUAGGGGAGCAAACGGG